rnacentral:piRNA from 1 species
GGAGCUAAGGAAGUAGAUGAUGA